rnacentral:rRNA from 1 species
AUGAACAGCAAGAGAAGCUUGCAAACGGAAGAGGAAAAUAUGAACAAAGGGGAAACCGUCCGUACCCUUUCAGGCAGAGGCGUCGUGGCGGCAUCGCCAUGUGCACGUCCUUGGGCGGCGCUUUUACCGCCCCUUCUCGAGCGAUCGGCAGCCCCGCCGCCGCCCUCGUCGUCGCCUGCUCGCUGGUUUAGAUCUAUGCUUCGCAGGACUCUGCCUGCACCCACAACCUGUCCAGUUCACUUAAUUGGUGAAAGGAACACCGAGCACAUGGAUCAAACAACGGGGAUCAAGCCAUUGCAGCAGGCAGCAGCGAUGAUAGUUCAGUCAAUCGAAGGGAAGCUUGCAGUUGCAGAGUUGCUGUCGCUGAUGAAACAAAAAAAAAAAAGCAAAGGGGGAAACGGGCCGUACCCUUUCAGGAAGUGGCGUCGCGGCGGCACCGUCAUGUGCAGAAGGCGCCGCAGAUCCAUCGGCGCUUUCACCGCCGCUUCUCGAGCAACCGGCAUCCCCGCCGUGGCCCUCGCCGUCUUCAGCAGGUUCGUUCAAAUUUAG